GAUGAACGCUGGCGGCGUGCCUAAUACAUGCAAGUCGAGCGAACGGACGAGAAGCUUGCUUCUCUGAUGUUAGCGGCGGACGGGUGAGUAACACGUGGAUAACCUACCUAUAAGACUGGGAUAACUUCGGGAAACCGGAGCUAAUACCGGAUAAUAUUUUGAACCGCAUUGUUCAAAAGUGUAAGACGGUCUUUCUUUCACUUAUAGAUGGAUCCGCGCUGCAUUAGCUAGUUGGUAAGGUAACGGCUUACCAAGGCAACGAUGCAUAGCCGACCUGAGAGUGUGGUCGGCCACACUGGAACUGAGACACGGUCCAGACUCCUACGGGAGGCAGCAGUAGGGAAUCUUCCGCAAAGGGCGAAAGCCUGACGGAGCAACGCCGCGUGAGUGAUGAAGGUCUUCGGAUCGUAAAACUCUGUUAUUAGGGAAGAACAUAUGUGUAAGUAACUGUGCACAUCUUGACGGAACAUAAUCAGAAAGCCACGGCUAGCUACGUG
rnacentral:rRNA from 1 species